rnacentral:rRNA from 1 species
UGUGAAAUGUUGGGUUAAGUCCCGCAACGAGCGCAACCCUUAUCCUUUGUUGCCAGCGAUUUGGUCGGGAACUCAAAGGAGACUGCCGGUGAUAAACCGGAGGAAGGUGGGGAUGACGUCAAGUCAUCAUGGCCCUUACGAGUAGGGCUACACACGUGCUACAAUGGCGUAUACAGAGGGAAGCGAUAGUGCGAGCUGGAGCGAAUCUCACAAAGUACGUCUAAGUCCGGAUUGGAGUCUGCAACUCGACUCCAUGAAGUCGAGUCGCUACGUAAGUACG